UGACCUUCCUGGCCCAGGGUAUGGGUUGUC
rnacentral:sRNA from 1 species